rnacentral:rRNA from 1 species
CCUACGUGAUGCUGCAGUGAGGAAUAUUGGUCAAUGUGCGCGCGCCUGCACCAGCCAUGUAGCGUGAAGGAUGCCGGCCCGACGGGUUGUAAACUUCUGUUAUAAAGGAAUAACAUGUGACACGUGUGCCUUGUUGUAUGUACCUUAUGAAUAAGGAUCGGCUAAAUCAGUGCCAGCAGCCGCGGUAAUAAGGAGGAUCCGAGCGUUAUCCGGAUUUCUUGGGUUUAAAGGGAGCGGAGGUGGGUUGUUAAGUCAGUUGAGAAAGUUUGAUGCUCAACCGGAAAAUUGCAAUUGAAACUGGCAGUCUUGAGUACAGUUGAGGUAGGCGGAAUGCGUGGUGUAGCGGUGAAAUGCUUAGAUAUCACGAAGAACUCCGAUUGCGAAGGCAGCUUACUAGCCUGCCACUGACAUUGAUGCUCGAAAGUGUGGGUAUCAAACAGGAUUAGAUACCCGAGUAGUC